rfam:Desulfotomaculum nigrificans CO-1-SRB chromosome, complete genome.
GAAACCACGUCUGGAAAGACUCAAGCCAAGUCACCAUUAGCGAGUCUUGGAUUCUAUGGAGUAAUCCAUAGAAUUAAGCGUAGACAGUCAGGUAGUAGAAAGUGGUUGAGCCCCGAAAUGAGUUAAAACGGGAAGGUCGACGGUCUCGAAACGGCCGGAAGACAAAAUCUUACCAAACGGUAUGGCGGGUUUGUUAAGACUUCCCCGGGGGCGAAGAGCC